rnacentral:tRNA from 1 species
GUUUUUAUAGUUUAAAUAAAACAUUGGUCUUGUAAAUCAAAAAUAAAUUUUUAUUUUAAAAACU